CCCAGACUCCUACGGGAGGCAGCAGUGGGGAAUAUUGCACAAUGGGGGAAACCCUGAUGCAGCGACGCCGCGUGAGUGAGGAAGUAUUUCGGUAUGUAAAGCUCUAUCAGCAGGGAAGAAAAAAUGACGGUACCUGACUAAGAAGCACCGGCUAAAUACGUGCCAGCAGCCGCGGUAAUACGUAUGGUGCAAGCGUUAUCCGGAUUUACUGGGUGUAAAGGGAGCGCAGGCGGUACGGCAAGUCUGAAGUGAAAUGCCGGGGCUUAACCCCGGAACUGCUUUGGAAACUGUGCAGCUAGAGUGCAGGAGAGGUAAGUGGAAUUCCUAGUGUAGCGGUGAAAUGCGUAGAUAUUAGGAGGAACACCAGUGGCGAAGGCGGCUUACUGGACUGUAACCGACGUUGAGGCUCGAAAGCGUGGGGAGCAAACAGGAUUAGAUACCCUCGUAA
rnacentral:rRNA from 1 species